rnacentral:tRNA from 1 species
AGCGGUAUGGCCAAAUUGGUAAGGCACCAGAUUCUGAUUCUGGGUACUCUAGGUUCGAGUCCUAGUACCGCUGCCA